GCGUCUUGCCCUUCCUGGGCGUUUCCUCCCUAUAGACUUUCCAAAGCCGCGCCGUUUGGCGCGGCUCUUUUUUUCGUCUCG
rfam:Brevundimonas diminuta ATCC 11568 genomic scaffold BDIM_scaffold00005, whole genome shotgun sequence.